AGCUUUCCUGGGCUUCCUUCAUUCUUCCUCUUCUCCUCCUGCACACUAACAGACAUCACACAUCAAUAACAAUCACGGGCCAUGCGUACUUCAAAGGGAGAGGGAUGAGCAUGAAAGAAGGUUCUGAUUGGAAAAAAUCUAGACUGGUGCUCAGAACGACCUUUGAUAGCUAGGGUUACUUGGGCCAAGUGGAAUAGCUUUUGAUCAGUUGCUAAGGUUGUUGUAUAUGGUUUCAGAGGGAUGAUGGCUUUGAAAUGACCAAACCUUACAGGCGUACAUCAAUAUGGCACCAUGCAUCAUCGAUGGUGAGGCCAGCUAGUCAGGGGACGAGUUGGCAAGGCCUAUAAGAAAAUAGCUAAACUGAUAAAGCUGCACGAGGAGCAAGUAGCUCAUAUUGGAGGUCGGAGUAUUGCUCCUUGAGAAAGAAUCCCUGGGGGCACCACCAUUCAAGGCAUCGCGAACGUUCUGACGUUCCAUUGCGGACUCAUGUGCUCUUAUCGUCUUGAAGAUUCCUGUCCAUGGAUGACAUACCGCAAAAGAGAGCUUAUCCCAACUGACAUGCUACCUUGAGCCAAAUGAGCCGUUUACUUGUAUGCAGUAGGCUUACUAUCUAUCUUUGGUUGGAAGUAAACUGGCGUCCUUCAUGAAUGAUGCGUCCGGGGGCUACGUACAGCAGAACCUAUGGGAAAACUGCUGAAAAGUCUAUAGCCUUUCGAUCAGAGAACCUGUGCGGUCUGCUUUGUUUGACAGAGUGUUGUAAUCACUCACCAGACUCCUACGACAUGUUCUCUAGAAGAUUGAAGUGUGUCAGUUUGCAUUACUACCAAACAGAAAAAAAAAAGGACGAUGGAAAGGGAGCAAGAAAGAAAAGGUAUGCAAUGUACUGUAGUGGCUUGGUCAGUCUAUCUGUUCCGAUGUAAACUCUGAAGGCUGCUGAAUCCAUGUACAAACUGAAAUAAAAGUGCAGAGGAGAGCAGGCAUCUCAUCCAAGCGGCCAAGGUGGUUAAGGCGUCCCUCUCUGCAUUCCCAGGAGACCUGGAAGGAGAAAAGAUUGCCGGAGACUUCACACGAAAUGAGCAACUGCUAACUCUCUCGCACACGAAUCGUGGCAUGAUAGAUUGUAUGUAGCCUUUCUGGACCAGUGCAAGGCUACGGGGGAUCAUCAGCUGGGCGGCCAAGCCUCCUCCAGGUCAUGUCUCCGUCUUCAAAGUCCUUUUUAUUUGCUUCUGCGCAUGCAGUCCCUUGGCAUGUAAGGAUAAGGGUUAGGAGGCCUGAAUCAGCUAAAAAGGCUCAGGCUUGGAUUGGAUAUCUGCUCGCACGGUCGCUUGUCAGUUGUCACUCAAAGCGAAGAACUCAACCAAUGCUGAUUUAACGAAACUUUUAAGGGUUGAUGGAGCCCUGGAGGCCUAAAAAACGGAUAAAACGUCUGUCAAUGGACCGAGCGUCAACUGGUUGACAAUUGUAUUAAAUGUUCUUUUAGGAAGUCAAAUUUUGUCAGGAAUUAGGUCAUGAUAGGAAACUGGAUGAAUGUGAGCUUCUGUCAAUCACAGAAAUAUAUCUACAUCAUUUCAUGA